rnacentral:tRNA from 1 species
GGAGAGGUGGCCGAGUGGUUUAAGGCGGUAGACUCGAAAUCUGCUGUUCUGCUUUGCGGAACCGGGGGUUCAAAUCCCUCCCUCUCCGCCA